GAUCCAUAACCCAUAACCCCUGUUGUAACAGAAAAGUAUGUGCAACACAAGAGGCCUUCAGCUCUUCAUGUAUUUGCUCUACUGUUGGGUAGGACAAAAAAAUAAAUACAUAAAAAAGAAGGAAAAUGGAUGGAUAUUUAGGGCGAACACGCUUGCAUUGGAUUUGUAUUCUCCCUGUUGAUCGAGUUACUGAAAACAUCACAAGGACAAAGCUGAGUUCCUGAUUGGUAGAUGCAACACGACGACCUCGCCAAAAUUCAAAUAUUUCAACUUUGUUCCUGGAACUCUUUAACGCAAUUAUCAUAAUUCUGAUGGAUUCGGGUGCAGAAAAAAAUGUAUUUUUGUGCUUUGCAUAACUAUACAAAGCUGUUUUUCUCUGUGUUAGAAUCAGUUGGUUUACGUUCAUUUCAUAAAGACUUGUGUGAAGUGUCAUAUCAGCACAAAGCUGCAUUUCUCCGCAUACGUUUGAAUUACGUUAACUGCGUAAACAGUUGAAGAGUUAAGGAAUUUAAAAGAAUGAUAAAAGCUCUGCUGUUGAAGUGUUCAAAUAAAAUGAAAAUAAAAACAGUGUUGUGUUUUAGUAAUUUCACGUGUUUAAAAAAAAAAGGCUAUUUACUGCCUCCUAUUGCUUUGGAUGUACUUCCUGUUCUGUGGAUGAAAAUAAAGAAGUUAACAACAAACAGUUCUGACAGUACAGAGCUGCUUAGCACCAAAAGCCACGCCCCCUCAGGGGAAAUUUUUGGAUUUUUGAAACGGAGGCCUCAGAUCAACUUGAAAAAUGGCUUUUUAAGACAUUCAGGUUGUGGGAUUUUGGUUAAAAACAUCUAAAUCAUAUUUAAAGCACUACUGAGAAUGUGUUUUUUUUUUAAUAAAAAAAUUGUGAUAGUGGGAACUUAAGCAGUGAAGCUUACAGAGUAAAAAAAAAAAAAAGUAUUUAAAAACUACAAAUUAUUUGUUCAUUUUUAGUAGCCCAGAAAUUGAUAAUGAUAUUAAGCAGUCUCAAUGAUGACGUUUGUUGAGCUGCGACAUUAGGGGAGUCCCAAUACUCAAGCAUAAACGCAGAGAAAUUACAUUUAUUUACCUGUUUUUUGUUUAUGGUUAAUUUUGUGUUUUCAAAAGUUUGGGAAAAUUUCAGAUGCACCUUAUAUUAAGUACUUUGUUUUUGAGAACCAUUUUUGUCCACUCGUAGAGAGAGGCGGAGUGAUAUGUGAGAAGGCGCGGAGGAAAGGAGAUCCGGCGAAAGUAACGUAGAGCAGGAAGUCACGGGAGAGGAGUGUGCUCGUUUUUUGUUUUUUAGUUCUAGCAGUAACAAAAAAAAUAGUGCUGUGUAGUUUUGUCGCUCUGAUCCACAGUGAAUUACCUGAAGUUUGUUUUAUUUGAUGAAAGUCCGUGUAGCUUCAACCCGAAGCUUUGGAAGUGAUCUUUUAUUGCUAACUACUGGGUAGUUAAGCCCUAAGCUAACACGUGCUAACUAUCAAGACCGAGCUGUUUUCCACCACCCACACGGACCAACCUAGCUCCAUUAUGUUGUUGCCAGACUGGUAAGCAUCUAAGGAGGACUUGAGACGACACUAUGAAGGCUGGAGACCCUCUCUUCUAACUACGCACGAGACCUGCUGGAGAAGGAGCCAUGUUGCAGCCUGGUUGGCUAACCUGCAUCUUUGGGAGAGACAAGGACAUCGAAGGACCACACAGUGAAUUGAGUGGAAGUAUUGCUUUACCCAAGAUGACCAAGAUAGGACAGAGAAUGAGGAGAAGAGGGCAGCCGAAGGAGGGAGGAGGGAACAUGAGUCCAAUGAGGAAUGCAGCAACGGGUAGCAUCCCUACUGGAGUCAGUGAUUUGAAGACUGCAGAUACAAAGUUAGGGACUCAGAGAUAUGGAGCUGGAAUCUCAGGUUGCCAUGUUUAAACCGCCUUUGCACAGAUGGAGGGAGCCACAGCCACAGAAGCAAAGUUACUAGAGGUGUAGCGUACAAGAUUCACAGUGAUGUCAAAGCUUUGGAGGAUGCAGAAAUGGCACUUCACAUUCCUGUCUGUGACCUUCAUGUGGUCUUGGAUUGACAAGCAAACAUGAGACAGUGCUGUCAAAAGUUGUCCUGAUGUCAAUAUGGAGUUCUGGUAGGACUUUGUGCGGUUACAGUAAAAUGGGAAUUUCACAAACCUGCAGUCGGUGAAUAAAAGACAUCUUGUUUCUUUUUUUGUGAACUGCAGUGUUGAUGGCAGAUGUGCAGGUUGGUGUUUAGGCCACAAAAGACGUUACGUUCAGUUUUGACAGUAAAAAUAUUUCUGCUGUUUGAUUUUAGGACGGACCUUGUUGAAAAUGGACUUUCACUAGAUGCAAGACCCCCCACCCAAACGGGCAAUAGAUACAGUUCAUACAUAUUUAACAACUUGAACCUGUUAUGCUACUUUGAGGCUAUGCACACUGAGAGGGUGUGGACAAAAGACACAACACAGGAAUAAAAUAAUCAAUUGAU